AUUCCAGCUCCAAUAGCGUAUAUUAAAGUUGUUGCGGUUAAAAAGCUCGUAGUUGGAUUUCUGCUGAGGACGACCGGUCCGCCCUCUGGGUGAGUAUCUGGCUCGGCCUUGGCAUCUUCUUGGGGAACGUAACUGCACUUGACUGUGUGGUGCGGUAUCCAGGACUUUUACUUUGAGGAAAUUAGAGUGUUUCAAGCAGGCGCACGCCUUGAAUACAUUAGCAUGGAAUAAUAAGAUAGGACCUUGGUUCUAUUUUGUUGGUUUCUAGAGCUGAGGUAAUGAUUAAUAGGGAUAGUUGGGGGCAUUCGUAUUUAAUUGUCAGAGGUGGAAUUCUCAGAUUUGUUAAAGACUAACUUAUGCGAAAGCAUUUGCCAAGGAUGCUUUCAUCG
rnacentral:rRNA from 1 species